CUAGGGGCAGCAAGUACUUCUGAAGGCUGCUCAUAACUUGCAACUAUAGUCCUGUCUCCUCUUCUUUCACCUAAGCCACUCAUCCUUCAGGAUCCCUGGAUCUCUGGUAGCUAGGGCUUGACAUAAACAAUAGAGAUUUAAUUUUUUUUCUUUUAAAUUUAAUGUUGAGUUUGUUGAUGGGCUGUAUUGAAAUAUAUAUAAAAUCUGUGAUUUGUGCUCAUAUUCUCAUAGUACCCCAUACCAAUGGCGGGUAGACAUCAUAAUCCUACCACUAUGCUCAAGGCAAAAUUGCAAAUACGUCUGUUUUUAAUUCCUUAUACUCCAGAGUCUAGAGAUCUGGCACCCUCCAUCUCUUUUUCAUUUUUAUCGUUAAUACUAGAAACUUUAAAUUUUAUUUGUACUUUUCAUGUACAGCAUAAGGUGUGUAGAAAUGGUGGGUAUAUUUUGGACUGGUCUCCUAAAAUUGACAAAAGGCAGUUAUGCAAGGGUAAUGCCCUGAAUCCUGGAGGAUUUGUUAGUAGCAUCCUUACCUUCAGGGAAGGUGGGAUUCAGAAAUAUGUUUGGUGCUUAAUUGCUGCCUCAGAAUUCUCACAGUUUACUGACAAAGCUUUACCAGACUUUGUAGGCAAGAACUGUAACAGGAAGCUUCUUGCUAUGGCUUAUGAGCCUGUGUUCAAUCUCCUUAUGCUGUAAUUACUGGAAAUGUAAAAGUUAAAAGGGAAGAUGAUAGAUAUCUUGUAACAUAUAGUAAAUGUAAUUUAACUAAUUGUAUCACCAGAAAUAAUAGAGAAAAAGGAACGACGAUGCUCCAUCAGCCGUCCUUUGUCUUAUUACCAGGAAAUAUUUCAGAGCCACGGUAGGCUGAUGCUGCUUUUCAAGUCUUACAACAAAUACACGCCCAGCUAGCGAGACCUAAGUGUGCUCUUGGACUCAUAAUAGUGAGAGUUGUUCCCUUGGGUUCUUUUAUUGCUUCCACGGUGACAGCUUUGGUGGCCAUAUCUCAAAUAUUCAACAUGGAAAUUUUCUUAAUUAUUUGGCUCAGAAUACUUCCAAGGCUCUUCACAAUCAAAUAAAUGUUGAUGAAAGGAAUGAGACCAAGCUAAAUGCCUUAGUCUGCUGUCAUGAAUAUAGAUAAUGAACUUUCCACUUUGAAAUUCAAGGAAAGACCUAAAUGUCAUGCUAGCUAUAAGUAUGUGUGUGUUACUGCUGCCAAAGGCAAUGCUUCUUAAUGGUAUUGGAAUAAGCUUCAAAACCAUUUGUUGGAUAUUUGGCAUAAUAAUGCUUGGAUCUUUUGGAGCUGCAUCAUCAGAUUCAAGAUACAAAAAUGUAAGACUCAUUUUUCAGAUCCUACUUCUUUAGCUGAUCAAAUGCUUAAAGAAUUAACCAGCUUUAACCCUGGAAACAUUCUUAAACACUCUGCAUGGUAUAUCCUUGUAUUGUUCUCGUUGCUACUUAUUCUCUCUUGUGUUGUAAUUGUAGGAUGUUGUGCCCCUAGAAGAAGAAUUCAGGGACUCAAAAUAAUGACCCAUCACCUGCUUUUUCAAAGAAAGAAGGACGGAUAUGUGGGAAGCCCUUCUGAGUGACCCAUGCCUUCGUGUCCUGAAGCAAGAGGCUCUGACCAGUCACUACAUUUGUGGUGACUUGGGCGUUGUCCCAGCUUAGAUAGAGAGGUGGGUCUUCAGAUGUAGGCAUUACCCAUGAGGGUUGGCUUAUCCUCACGUGUCCCUUGUAACCCUGCUCCUCUGGCCUUUUUUGAAGGGAACUUUCUAAGAACAAGAGUCCUCCAAUAAAAGCUCUCUUCUGAAUGUGGUCACUUUCUCACCAGCUUCUCAUGACUUUCUCUUGCCCUCCCUUUUGGGGAGGCUGAGGCCAAGAGCAGAGAAGAAGUCCUGAAGCUUGUGUAAAGGUAAAGUGUGUCUGUGUUUUAUUUGGUGUCCCU
rnacentral:lncRNA from 1 species